rnacentral:rRNA from 1 species
AAGCUCAGCUUUUGUUGGGUGGAUGAGUGGCGAACGGGUGAGUAACACGUGAGUAACCUGCCCCCUUCUUUGGGAUAACGCCCGGAAACGGGUGCUAAUACUGGAUAUUCACUUGCCUUCGCAUGGGGGUUGGUGGAAAGGGUUUUUUCUGGUGGGGGAUGGGCUCGCGGCCUAUCAGCUUGUUGGUGGGGUGAUGGCCUACCAAGGCUUUGACGGGUAGCCGGCCUGAGAGGGUGACCGGUCACAUUGGGACUGAGAUACGGCCCAGACUCCUACGGGAGGCAGCAGUGGGGAAUAUUGCACAAUGGGCGAAAGCCUGAUGCAGCGACGCCGCGUGAGGGAUGGAGGCCUUCGGGUUGUAAACCUCUUUCGCUCAUGGUCAAGCCGCAGCUUUGGGUUGUGGUGAGGGUAGUGGGUAAAGAAGCGCCGGCUAACUACGUGCCAGCAGCCGCGGUAAUACGUAGGGCGCGAGCGUUGUCCGGAAUUAUUGGGCGUAAAGGGCUUGUAGGCGGUUGGUCGCGUCUGCCGUGAAAUCCUCUGGCUUAACUGGGGGCGUGCGGUGGGUACGGGCUGACUUGAGUGCGGUAGGGGAGACUGGAACUCCUGGUGUAGCGGUGGAAUGCGCAGAUAUCAGGAAGAACACCGGUGGCGAAGGCGGGUCUCUGGGCCGUUACUGACGCUGAGGAGCGAAAGCGUGGGGAGCGAACAGGAUUAGAUACCCUGGUAGUCCACGCUGUAAACGUUGGGCACUAGGUGUGGGGGCCACCCGUGGUUUCUGCGCCGUA